rnacentral:rRNA from 1 species
GUCUACAGCCAUGCCACUCUGAACACACUCGAUUCCAUCUGAUCUCAGAAGCUCAGCAGGGUCGAGCCUGAUUAGUAUUUGCAUGGGAGACCACCUAGGAAGACCAGGUGCUGUAGGCA